rnacentral:piRNA from 1 species
UGGCUUGUACACAUGGGACCAAGC